rnacentral:rRNA from 1 species
AACGCGAAGAACCUUACCAGGUCUUGACAUCCCUCUGAAUCCAUUAGAGAUAGUGGCGGCCUUCGGGACAGAGGAGACAGGUGGUGCAUGGUUGUCGUCAGCUCGUGUCGUGAGAUGUUGGGUUAAGUCCCGCAACGAGCGCAACCCUUGACUUUAGUUGCCAGCAGGUGAAGCUGGGCACUCUAGAGUGACUGCCGGUGACAAACCGGAGGAAGGUGGGGAUGACGUCAAAUCAUCAUGCCCCCUUAUGACCUGGGCUACACACGUACUACAAUGGCCGGUACAACGGGAAGCGAAGCCGCGAGGUGGAGCCAAUCCCAGCAAAGCCGGUCUCAGUUCGGAUUGCAGGCUGCAACUCGCCUGCAUGAAGUCGGAAUUGCUAGUAAUCGCGGAUCAGCAUGCCGCGGUGAAUACGUUCCCGGGCCUUGUACACACCGGAGUA